CUCAACAAAGAGAAAUGCAUACCACUGCUGCAACUGAGUCCUCAGGUGAAGAGCACAUCACUACUGAGGAUCAGAGCAUCUGUAGCAGGUGCAAGAUACCAAGUGCCCUAAGUCCGUCUUGUCAAAGGGACUAAUAAGCAGGCUGGAGUGCAGUAGUGCAGUCACAGCUGAGUGCAGCCUCCACCUCCCAGGGCUCAAGCAAUCCUGCCACCUCAGUCUACCAAGUAGCUGGAACUACAGACCUGAACCACCACACCCAGCUAAUUUUUUAUUUUUUGUAAAGAUGGGGUCUCACUGUGUUGCCCUGGCUGACCUCAAACUCCUGAACCCAAGCAAUCCUUUCACCACCUUGGCCUCCCAAAGUGUUAGGAUUAGAGGAAUGAGCCAUUGUGUCCAGCCAAAAUAAAUAUUUUAAGCAUGUAUAACUACUAAAGAGGGAUGCUGUGUAUACUG
rnacentral:lncRNA from 10 species